CCACCGAAAGANAAAGAGUGGCGAACGGGUGAGUAACACGUGGGUNACCUGCCCAUCAGANGGGGAUAACACUUGGAAACAGGUGCGUAAUACCGUAUAACACUAUUUUCCGCAUGGAAGAAAGUUGAAAGGCGCUUUUGCGUCACUGAUGGAUGGACCCGCGGUGCAUUAGCUAGUUGGUGAGGUAACGGCUCACCAAGGCAACGAUGCAUAGCCGACCUGAGAGGGUGAUCGGCCACACUGGGACUGAGACACGGCCCAGACUCCUACGGGAGGCAGCAGUAGGGAAUCUUCGGCAAUGGACGAAAGUCUGACCGAGCAACGCCGCGUGAGUGAAGAAGGUUUUCGGAUCGUAAAACUCUGUUGUUAGAGAAGAACAAGGAUGAGAGUAGAACGUUCAUCCCUUGACGGUAUCUAACCAGAAAGCCACGGCUAACUACGUGCCAGCAGCCGCGGUAAUACGUAGGUGGCAAGCGUUGUCCGGAUUUAUUGGGCGUAAAGCGAGCGCAGGCGGUUUCUUAAGUCUGAUGUGAAAGCCCCCGGCUCAACCGGGGAGGGUCAUUGGAAACUGGGAGACUUGAGUGCAGA
rnacentral:rRNA from 1 species